GGGGGGGGGGGAGGGAGGGCGAAGGGGUAUCUAAUGCUUUCCAGUUGUGGAAAGUUAUAACUAAAAAUGAGGAGAAAGAGACAGAGAGAGACAGAGCAAGCCAGGCAGGGCAGAAGCAAUUGUUUUGGAGGCUAACCACUCCAGUUGGGUAGCACAAUCAGCCAUUUGACAUUCCUGUUCAGAUGCUGGUCUGCUGGACUGAUUGCAUUCUGUUUCUCUAGUUGUUUUGUGAGUACCAAUGUGGCAGAAGACACUUCUCUGCUGAACUCCUCUCCCACAGGACACUGAGCACUGAUGGGAUACAAAAAAGAGCCGUCUGUGCAAGAGGACCUAACCCAAGUGAUUUCUAAGAGGCCUUGGCUCUUCCUUUGAAUGACAAUUUUUUUAAAAAAAUCAUUUCAGUUUCCCUUUAGACCACUCUAUAUAAUCUAGAUGUGCAGCAUGUAGAAAGCAAAUAUGGACAACAAGAAUAGACAACAUGGAGCUGAUAAUGAUACGGUUGGAGUUUCCUUACAGUUUCAGAUGCUACAUCUGAAGAAGUUGCAAAUGAAGGCCCCUUUCUAUUUUGAGUGCAUCGACAAGAAAGAAAGAAAGAAAGAAAGAAAGAAAGAAAGAAAGAAAGAAAGAAAGAACGAACGAACCUUGGAGAAUAUUUAUUUCUAUUAUCACACAACUGUAUAAAUUUUAGGAUGUCAUGUGCACACUUUCAGCACUUAAUGUGGACAAAUAUAUGGGCAAAUUCUAGAACUGGCAGUAGUCAUUCAGCUCAAAGACAACCUUUGCAAGUACAGUACAUGAAAAAUGCAUGCUUUUAGCAGACAAAGUUUUUAAAUAGAAUAACUACAGUUAAGGCAACACGCUUUCAUUAAUAUUAUUUGUGGCUUUUAUAUUUGUUCUAAGGAAUCAACAUAAUACAUUUGAAUGUUACAUGCAAACAAAUUGCCACAAAAUAUCUGCCCUAUUAUUCCUUUGCUUUUUCUUUUUCUUGCAGGAACUUUUGAUGACUGGAGUAUUACAGAGAUAUGAUAUCCUAAAAAACCAACAACGUUUAGACUGGAUCCAUAGAACAGAACUCUCAUUACAAAAUGAUCCUGCAAAAUGACUAGGAGGGAACUGUCCUUGUCACUAAAUCUCCAUAUGCUUUUAAGAUUGACUCUAAGUAUCAAGAAGUGAAUCAAAAGGGGUUUUAAGAGCAGCAGGGAUUGGUUGAAAUUGCCAAUCUGUCCCUUAAUAUCACCAUAAUAAUGGUUCCCUGCACCAGGAAAGAGAUUGCCUCCAUUUCAAAAAGGCCAAAUCUUGAUGUAACUGGGUUGUUGUUUGUUUUCCGGUUGUAUGUAUGUUAUAACUUACAACCUCUUAGGAUGCCUGCCAUAGAUGUGGGCGAAACGUCAGGAGAGAAUACUUCUGGAACAUGAAAACAUACAACAACCCUGUGAUCCCGGUUAUGAAAGCCUUUGACAACACCUUGAUCUAACCUAUGCUACUGAAUGAACAACUGCAAUUUUUGUUGGUCUUCUCCACCUGGCACCUUUUCAAACCUGCCCUAUAUUUGAGGGUGAGUAUAAAUUUAAUUAAAAUGAACACAUUAAACAAUUUAACACAAUAAUUAUAAUUAAAAUAUGCUAAAACAUAUUAAACAUAGUAACAAGUUAUGAGAGAAAAAUAUUCAAGAUGAACCAAAGGUCUUGAACACAUUCACUUGGUGCCCAAAUGAAAUCAAUGUUGAUGCGAAUUAUGGAGUUUGUUCCAAAAGGUACCCAAUCCCCCAAAAAAUUGAAAAAUGAGUUAAAGCUCACAGCACAGAAUUGGCUAUCAGUAGAAUAUUAUGUAAAGAUCAAAACUAUCAGAAUGUAUCAAAUCACUUUGGUACAGGGCUUGGAAAACUGUAUUUUGUUGCAAAAGAAUGCAUAUCCUCAGCACGAUUUUCCCCCGAUCCCUGUAACAUUUGUUCAGAUGGAUUUGGUACCUUUUGGAAACAAGCUCCACAACUGGGCAUUCAAGAUGAGGGCAUUCCACAGUUGGUCAGCCACAAUUCUUUUAAGAAUUUGCUAUUUACAUUAUAUUCCAGUUGGCAGUCAAAUGGCUACAUUUUGCAUUAGCUGCAACUUCCAAGUCUUUUUCAAGGGCAGCCAAACAUAGAGUACAUUACAGCAGAAGGCUUGAGUCUUUCUGGCUAGGCUAUCUCUGUCCAGGAAAGGUCAAAUCUGGCACACCAUCCAAGGCUGGAAUCAAGUACCCAGAGUCAGAGAAUCACUUUUGAUCUCAGAAAGGGAUAGAUCUAGGAGUAUUCCCAAACUACACAUCUUCAGAAGAAAUGUAAUCUUAUCAAGAAAAAGCUGAUUACCCUAAUUCCAAGACCCAAGAACCCCUAAUCCACAGAACAUCCAUCUUAUCAUGGUAUUGAACUACAACUCCCAUUGCCUAGUUCAGCACAACCAUUAGUCAUGUCAUCUGAACACAAUGCAGAGGCAGAACAUAUAAACUCUCGAUCCAUGCAGUUUCAUGUCCUUACUUAGCAGCUUUCAAAUCCUGGCAGGGGCUGCUAGUGCUGUCAUUGCCUUCUUGGUAGGGAAGAUAUGGAGCUGGGAGGUAAACCCAAUGAUAAAAAUAUGGCUGGUCCAGUCUUGGGGAAUGGGCAGCAGAGUGUGCUCAUGAAUAAAAUACACCCUCAUUUUCCUAACCCUACAUCUCAGGCCAGACCAUAUCAACUGGACCUUUACUGUCAGAAUUGACUCCACUUUCCAUCCUUUCUGAACCCAUCCUGGGUUUUGAUAGCUGUCAGUGUGGGGAAGUUUUGGGACAGUACACAAACUACUACAGAAUAAUUUCUUGAGCACUGUCCAAAAACACAUGUGAGCCACACUUCUUAUGUCACUAAAAGGAUUCUCGCCAGUGAGAAAUAUGGUAGCUAAAGUUGGCUGGUACCUCUAUUUUGGCCAAGAUCAUACCAUCCUUUAUAUCAGUGGUUCUCAACCUGGGGUCCCCAGGUGUUUUUGGCCUUCAGCUCCCAGAAAUCCUAACAGCUGGUAAACUGGCUGGGAUUUCUGGGAGUUGUAGGCCAAAAACAUCUGGGGACCCCAGGUUGAAAACCACUGCUUUAGAUGUGCUGCCUUCCUUUCAUAUCCUCCCAUGUGUAGUCUCCAGUAACUAACUUAGAUGGACUUCACAUCUCCUCAAAACUGGUGAAAUCUGAACUAUUCGAGUUGAAGAUCUUUGUGAAGAGAUACAUGAGGAACAAAGAAAGUACUCAUUCUAAAACUGGGACAGAAACUAUGCAAACUUCCAGAUGUCGCUAUAUCUCAGACUCAGAAUUGCUCACUGUGCUGUCUAGGGCCCUCUUCACAAGUCCCUCCCCCUUGUGCUGUUUCACUGGCAGUCAGUACGACAGCUGGGAACUAGACACCAAGAAUAUUUGGAGUUACAGUAUAUGUGAUUCCCACCUGUGUUUCGGACCAACGCACAAUAUCCAUCUUGCUUGGAAAUAGACUAUUAAGAUUUUUAAAAGGGAGUAGUAAAACACUCACUUUAUAAAUUCCAACUAAAUCAAAGUUAAAUGUCCUCAGCAAUUAUGAUUUGCUUGGGGACAUGUUCCCUAACACAUCUCAAAUGAUGAGAGAGAAAGAACUGGAUGGUUAUACAGCAAAUUACCAUACACCAGGAAAAAAGGAUUAGAUUGUAGACUUCGGAGUUCUCAGAAAGAAGGAAAGAGAAAAUGGCCCAGUUCCCAUGGGCCUUUUUGUGCAGGAAAUCGGUAGAGGAAUGAAAAUAAAGAAGAGACCAAGGCACUGCAGAAAAUUAAAUAGCCUAUGCUUUCAGAUAAUAGUGUUAUUGUGUAAUGGCAAAAAUUAUUUACUAAAGAGUAAUGUUUCAGUUGGUAGGGUUAGAAUAUAAUUCUGUUCUUGCCCUUCACAGCGGGAUUUCGGAAAAGGAUGGGGAUCAAAGUGUCUCUUUUGAGACUUGCUGACUGAACUUUUACUCAAUUUCUGCUUCAUACUAACUAGUGGUGCAGUGGAAAAUUUGGAAAUGCAUGCUCCCAUGAUAGUACUUUUCUAACAUCCCAAGGACAAAACAAAACUGCAGACUGCAUAUGUAUCUGUAUAACAUUUCUGUGUAGAUUUUUUUUCUCUCAGAAAUUUUUUUUCUGCAUAGAAAUGUAUUUUCCUGAGCAGACAGUGCUUUUUUUUUUUGAGUUACAUGCAUAUUUUUGUACAGAAUAAGCCUUGGACUGCAAAUAGUUUUCAAAACUUCAGUUUUCAACAACUCUUCACAGCCUGAGGGAAUGAAAUUUUAAAAUAUGUACAUUCCCAAAAUAUGGAUAGUAGGAUUGUCAACACAACCUAUGAUGUUUACAGAAUCUAGAAACAAAGGAAUCAAAUACUCUACAAGGACAAGGGAAAAUGUUACAAGAACAAAGACUGGAUCCUGUGCGGAAAAACUGCAUCCAAUGUUUAAUUUGUACCACUAAAUCAAUUUAGUUCUCCAUCAUAUUUAUAUAUUUACUGUACUGUGCUAUCCGUAAGGUCCCUGAUGGGUGAUGGAUUGCUAAACUGGAAGUGGACAUUGGACAGCAAAGCUGUUUGUGUCCAUAUCAUAGAAGCACCAGUUCCUCCUUAUUUUCAUCAGUGUCCCACAGCAGCUCAACCUGUUCUUUUAGGAUCAUGAGUUCCAUGCCAAAGCUAAAGUUACUUUUAAAAGGAAUGUAUUAUGGAACAUGUUGUUGUUGAGUGCCUUCAAGUAAUCACAGUGUUUUCAGAGCUGAUUUGCCAUGGCCUUCAUCCUAGGCUGCGCGAGCAUAACUUGUUCAAGGUCACUCAAUGGGUUCCAUGGUUGAACAGGAAUUCAAAGUCUGAUCUCUAGAUCACUCAAAUUGUUUCAUCACAUUGCCCUCAUAUGAAACUCACUACAGCCCCAGAAACAAGAAAAAGGAUCUUCAAAAAGGUAAUAUUGCAAUCCAUUAUGUUAUCUUAGUAAUGUAACAUCUUCACAGCUGUUUCCAAAGAAAAGCACCAGAUUCCAUCUGAUCUUGGAAACUAAGCAGGGUCGGCCCUAAUUAGUAUUUGGAAGAGAAACUAUCAACAAAUACCAGGUACUGUAGGUUUUAUUUCAAAGGAAGAUAUUGGCAAAACCACCUCUGAGUACUUCUUUCCGAAGAAAAAAAAUGACACAAUUUAUGAACUUGAAGGUACAACGACAACAACGAUAACAACAUUACUUGCAAUAUGUUACUCCAGGCUGUGUACUCUCCAUAAGUGACACUCCUAAAAGUGAAAGAUUAUUUUCUAGUCAGAAUGACACCAAGUAUAGCAUUGCACCAGGUUUCUAGUAACAACAUAUUUCUUUGCACAUUGACAUAACAGAUUUAUUCUGUGAUGUAUCCAUAACCUGAUUUUUUUUGGGGGGGGGGGGGGGGGCUUGAAAUGUUCAUUUCAACAUUUUGAAGGCAUGUACAAACCUGUCCCAAGACAAAAUACAAAAUGUACAUUCUUGACAGAAUUUUCAUCACAGGAAAGACUGCCAUGAUUUCAUUGUGUAAA